UCUCAAAAGGAAAAUUAUUGCAUUAUUCCUCCCAGGUUUGUGACCAAUUCUUAGUUUUGGCUGAAUUAACAAAUUAAGUACAAAAUAGUCAACACAAAGAGUUCAUUAAAAAAAAAAAAAAAAGACCAAUUCUCUUCUCCAAUGCCAAAAUCAAAACAAAAAAGUGAGACAUAUCAAAGAACAUAACAUUCUCAACGUAUGGCAUCGUUGGCGACCCAUUUCUCAGGUUUUCUCUUACUCUUCCCCAUUGGUGUUCGUCGUUUACUCUCUUCUUCUUCCCUUUACCUCCAAAACCCAUCUCAUUUCAGAUCCAAGCUAUGGUAUUUCUCAGACCCACGGUGGAAGAACAUUGAUCUCUAUGUUCUUCUUAUAGCCUUGCCCAUUGCUUCAUUCUCUGAGCUUUUAUUCUUCUUAUCCUUUUCUGGGCACCCUACUUACAGAUUCUCAUUCUUCCAGCAAUCAUUUGCAGUUUUGGCUUUCUGGGUCUUGAUCAUAUUGAUCAUAGUUCAUGAGUAUGUGGGCAAAUCCUUUGUUAAUGAAAGUUUUGUUUUUGGUUUUGGUGGGGUUGUUUUUUUAAUGGAGUAUUCUGUGAUGGGUAGAGGAAUUUCAGGUCUUGCUGGUGUUGUCUAUGGUUUGUUGGGUGGAUUGACUCUUGUUUGUGCUGCUUCUUGCAUUUACUUGUCAGUUAAGCCUGCUGCUUUUUUUGCUGAGUUUUUGUUGUCCUCUGGAUUGGUUUUUAAGGCCACUUGGUUGCUGCAAGCUGGGUUUUCAUUGUAUACUGAUGAUUUUGGAUUCAAAGGGUGUCAAAAGAUUUCACUUUUGUCCCCUCUGAAGGAGAGUGUUGAUGUGCACUGUGAACUUGAUGAGAAUAGUUUGAGGGGUGUUACUUUGAUGAAUUUCCUGUUCACUGUGCAUGCCAUUUUGGUGCUGGUUUUGGCUGUUGGAUUGUUUGGGUUGUUGGCAAGUAACCUGAACUUGAGGUGUGGGGAGCCAAAGGGGCCAUUGCUAGCUGAGCUUGAAUCCACGAGUAUGCAGAUGGGUGCUCUUCCUGAACUGGAGAUGGAGUGAAAUGUAAAUGAUUUUGAUAGAAUCAAAGAAGGAAAAGUGUGCAAUGUGAAUCCAUGGAUGUACAUUACACUUUGGUUCUCUUUACUUGCUCAGUUCUUCUAGGAUUUUGUACUGAUAUGGCCUCUCUGUAUAAGAGCACACCCUGGUGCAUACUGCAUAAAGGUCUCUCGACCUUGUCCUUCUGGUUAUAAAUGAGCAACCUUAUCACUUACUCCAAGCUAGACCUUUGAUAUGGCUACUAUGUUCAAGUGAAAAAUCAAUGUAAUUACUAAAUCAUGAAAGGAGUUGAGAUUAUUUAGGGCUAGGAAAACUACUAAGGAAGUUAGGGUGAUUCAUUAUAACUUUUAAGAGGGAUUGCUGGAACCCAAAUGUAUUAUGUAGCAUUAUCAACAGUUGUGCGCAAUUCAUGAAAACUUGUGUAAGUAACAUUAACUUUCAAUUCACUAGUUAAUUCUCAAAUGGAAAGAAAAAUAGAUAACCAAGCA